rnacentral:rRNA from 1 species
AUUGAACGCUGGCGGCAGGCCUAACACAUGCAAGUCGAGCGGAGCGGCGGACGGGUGAGUAAUAUAUCGGAACGUGCCCCGUAGGGGGGGGUAACUACUCGAAAGAGUGGCUAAUACCCCAUACUAUUUGAGCUGUCGCUAUCGGAUUAGCUAGUUGGGGGGGUAAAGGCUCACCAAGGCAACGAUCCGUAGCUGGUUUGAGAGGACGACCAGCCACACUGGGACUGAGACACGGCCCAGACUCCUACGGGAGGCAGCAGUGGGGAAUUUUGGACAAUGGGGGAAACCCUGAUGCAGCCAUCCCGCGUGUAUGAUGAAGGCCUUCGGGUUGUAAAGUACUUUUGGCAGAGAAGCGGUAUCUGCAGAAGAAGCACCGGCUAACUACGUGCCAGCAGCCGCGGUAAUAC